UACGGGGGGGGCAAGCGUUGUUCGGAAUUACUGGGCGUAAAGGGCUCGUAGGCGGCCAACUAAGUCAAACGUGAAAUCCCUCGGCUUAACCGGGGAACUGCGCUUGAUACUGGAUGGCUUGAGAUUGGGAGAGGGAUGCGGAAUUCCAGGUGUAGCGGUGAAAUGCGUAGAUAUCUGGAGGAACACCGAUGGCGAAGGCAGGUCUCUGGGCCGAUACUGACGCUGAGGAGCGAAAGCGUGGGGAGCGAACAGG
rnacentral:rRNA from 1 species